GAGGGUAUAGCUCAGUGGAAGAGCACAUGCUUAGCAUGCAAGAGGUCCUGGGUUCAAUCCCCAGUACCUCCA
rnacentral:tRNA from 1 species